AUUGCAGAGAAAAUUGUGACCUGUUUGAUGUCGAAGUGCCUGCACCAUCGACAUCACAGGCGCCUGCACCAUCUCCGGCCACCAUCACCAGCACCAUCAACCCACUACCCUCCUUCGCCCGCAAUGUUUAUAGAGGUUGGAGGCAGCAGCACAGCCAGCACGUCGAAGACACCGCGACCCUCUCGGAGGUCGCUUAGUGAUGAUGAAAUCGUUCAUCAUUUAAACUAUGGGAGUGAAUUAUCGACACCGAUGAGGAGGAUGACGACAUUGUGCCCCUCUUGGUGUCCAGGGUGUACCAGGAGUCACUCGACAGUCCGGUGGACCCAGAAGUGCUCCAGCCUGCUGCCGCCGAGCCUGGAGAUGGUGACGUUUUGGGGUUAGCAGGUCUAGGUGAUAGUGCACUGCGACCUGUUGAUCUCUUUGACUUUGUGUGGACGGAUUAUCCCAGCUCUCCCUUACCAUCAAGCGAGAAAGGGAGCGGUUCACUCCUGAUUAUGUUGGCCCCACUUUGCCAUGUGAAAAUGAGUAUGACAGUUUCACUGCCAUUUGGGACCAACAUAAUAUAAUGGCCCACGUCAAUUUUUGGAAAGAGACGACAAUAGACGAGCUUUACACCUUAUUUGCA